rnacentral:rRNA from 1 species
CGCGUAGGCGGCUUGGAAAGUUGGGUGUGAAAGCCCAGGGCUCAACCCUGGAAUUGCACUCAAGACUGCCUUGCUUGAAUUCGGUAGAGGUUGGUGGAAUUCCCAGUGUAGAGGUGAAAUUCGUAGAGAUUGGGAAGAACACCAGUGGCGAAGGCGGCCAACUGGACCGACAUUGACGCUGAGGCGCGAAAGCGUGGGGAUCAAACAGGAUUAGAUACCCUGGUAGUCCACGCUGUAAACGAUGCAUGCUAGACGUUGGAAGCUUACGCUUCCUGUGUCGCAGCUAACGCACUAAGCAUGCCGCCUGGGGAGUACGGCCGCAAGGUUGAA